GUGGCUGGGCUGGGAGGUGAGAUGUGCCGGUGGUUGGCACCCCGGUGACCUGUGGGUCCCCAGAGCCCCUGGUCCCACCGGCGGUGGGGUGGGUGCUGCACCGGUUGCUGCAGCCCCAGUUCCUGGGGCGCCCACCCCUAGGUGCCCCCAGGGUGCCCGGGGAUGCGGGCUGAUAUUGGCAGUCUGCCGGUGAUGGGCUGAGAUUUAAUUUGACAUAACCAGGGGGCACGGUUGGGGAGCCGAGUCGAUGCAGUGGAGUAAAGCUUAUUGGUUUCAGCGGGAGUGGAGAACGAUUUGAGCAACCUCUGUACCGCCGGUCCAGACACACACCACCGCACCGUUGACUUAGCAGCCGCUGCUGACAGAGAAGUGAUAAAGCUCUCGGAGAUAUUCCUGUCUCAUCUGUCUCGGCGAUUGCUCGUCAAGGGACGUGUCUACGAGGAUGUGAGGGAGACAGUGCAGUCAGAGGUUGCACAAGUCACUGCCCCAAACCAGGCUUGACUUUCUGGGCUGGUGCUCACCUCUUCCAGCUGAGUGGCUGCCUGUGUUUCCGCGGGGGAGGCAGGAGGGAUCGCCUGGAGAACCCAGGCAUCGCUCCCAGCAUUUGCCUAAUAGGCACCUCGGAAAUGCAUCCUGGGAGCCGUGACUCUUUCUGAGCAGCAGCUGUUUCUCUCCGGUGAAGGGAGCAGAAGUCAUCAAUUCUCCCUCCUGGCUGACCCUGAACUGCUCACGCUGCAGGCAGGCCAGGCAGCAUCUGUCUGGGACACCUCUGAUGGGGCUGAAGGUCAGUGAAGGUCCUGGGCCGUUUUGGUCUGACAGGUUUGCCUUUAAAAAAAACGUUUUACUGUUGGCAGAAAAUGCAAGCUACUGAGGGCAUGCCAGGAGGGGAUAUGUGGAUCCUUCUGGUCUGACAUC
rnacentral:lncRNA from 1 species